GAUGAACGCUAGCGGCAGGCUUAAUACAUGCAAGUCGAGGGACAGCACAGGUAGCAAUACUGGGUGGUAACCGGCAAACGGGUGCGGAACGCGUACACAACCUUCCUUUAAGUGGGGGAUAGCCCAGAGAAAUUUGGAUUAAUACCCCGUAAUAUAGUUGAAUGGCAUCAUUUGAUUAUUAUAGCUACGGCGCUUAAUGAUGGGUGUGCGGCUGAUUAGAUAGUUGGCGGGGUAACGGCCCACCAAGUCUACGAUCAGUAGCUGAUGUGAGAGCGUGAUCAGCCACACGGGCACUGGGACACGGGCCCGACUCCUACGGGAGGCAGCAGUAAGGAAUAUUGGUCAAUGGACGCAAGUCUGAACCAGCCAUGCCGCGUGAAGGAUUAAGGUCCUCUGGAUUGUAAACUUCUUUUAUUUGGGACGAAAAAGGGCCUUUCUAGGUCAACUGACGGUACCAGAUGAAUAAGCACCGGCUAACUCCGUGCCAGCCGCCGCCGUAACAC
rnacentral:rRNA from 1 species